GAAAAUUUUAUCACUGAAACAUACCCCUUUGUUAUACAGUGAAAAAUUUCUCCCAUCCCCUUUGUUUAAAGCAGCACACUAUAGUAGGUGUGCUGCUUUU
rnacentral:sRNA from 1 species